UAGCCAUGAUGUGGACAUGAAUUCAUGAGGUCCUUGAACCACUCUUAGCAUUGGAAGAAGGUUUCUUCUUCUUUUUGAGUAAAGUUUGUGAUUGUCUUCCUUAAAGUA